rnacentral:rRNA from 1 species
AUGUUCCAGGAGCUUGCACCACACGACCCACACGACAAGUGUGGUCACCACUACGCGAUCUGUCUUGACUUGAAGAACCAACGCUUUGAGGUGCUUGAUUCAAUGCGUUCGGUAGCCGAUGCAGACCUUACUUCGCAUGUUAAGUUCUUCAUCAACAAAGUCAAAGAGACAUGGAACCGUCACUACGAAAACUCAAAGGUCUAG